UGUUAGUGUGUGUAUGUUAGUGUGUGUGUGUGGAUGUCUGUUAGUGUGUGUCUGUUAGUGUGUGUCUGUUAGUGUGUGUCUGUUAGUGUGUAUGUUAGUGUGUGUGUCUGUUAGUGUUAGUGUGUAUGUUAAUGUUAGUGUAUGUUAGUGUUAGUGUGGAUGUCUGUUAGUGUGUGUGUUUGCCUGUGAGUGUGUGUGUCUGUUAGUGAGUGUGUGAGUGUGUGUCUGUUAGUGACUGUGUGUUUCUGUUAGCUAGUGAAUGCGUAUCUGUCAGUGAAUGUGUGUG